AUACGGAGGGGGUUAGCGUUGUUCGGAAUUACUGGGCGUAAAGCGCACGUAGGCGGACUGGAAAGUUGGGGGUGAAAUCCCGGGGCUCAACCCCGGAACUGCCUCCAAAACUUCCAAUCUAGAGAUCGAGAGAGGUGAGUGGAAUUCCAAGUGUAGAGGUGAAAUUCGUAGAUAUUUGGAGGAACACCAGUGGCGAAGGCGGCUCACUGGCUCGAUACUGACGCUGAGGUGCGAAAGCGUGGUGAGCAAACAGGAUUAGAAACCCUUGUAGUCC
rnacentral:rRNA from 1 species